rnacentral:rRNA from 1 species
AGAGUUUGAUCCUGGCUCAGAUUGAACGCUAGCGGGAUGCUUUACACAUGCAAGUCGAACGGCAGCACGAGAGAGCUUGCUCUCUUGGUGGCGAGUGGCGGACGGGUGAGUAAUAUAUCGGAACGUGCCCAGUAGCGGGGGAUAACUACUCGAAAGAGUGGCUAAUACCGCAUACGCCCUACGGGGGAAAGGGGGGGAUCGCAAGACCUCUCACUAUUGGAGCGGCCGAUAUCGGAUUAGCUAGUUGGUGGGGUAAAGGCUCACCAAGGCAACGAUCCGUAGCUGGUUUGAGAGGACGACCAGCCACACUGGGACUGAGACACGGCCCAGACUCCUACGGGAGGCAGCAGUGGGGAAUUUUGGACAAUGGGGGAAACCCUGAUCCAGCCAUCCCGCGUGUAUGAUGAAGGCCUUCGGGUUGUAAAGUACUUUUGGCAGAGAAGAAAAGGCAUCCCCUAAUACGGGAUGCUGCUGACGGUAUCUGCAGAAUAAGCACCGGCUAACUACGUGCCAGCAGCCGCGGUAAUACGUAGGGUGCAAGCGUUAAUCGGAAUUACUGGGCGUAAAGCGUGUGUAGGCGGUUCGGAAAGAAAGAUGUGAAAUCCCAGGGCUCAACCUUGGAACUGCAUUUUUAACUGCCGAGCUAGAGUAUGUCAGAGGGGGGUAGAAUUCCACGUGUAGCAGUGAAAUGCGUAGAUAUGUGGAGGAAUACCGAUGGCGAAGGCAGCCCCCUGGGAUAAUACUGACGCUCAGACACGAAAGCGUGGGGGAGCAAACAGGAUUAGAUACCCUGGUAGUCCACGCCCUAAACGAUGUCAACUAGCUGUUGGGGCCGUUAGGCCUUAGUAGCGCAGCUAACGCGUGAAGUUGACCGCCUGGGGGGUACGGUCGCAAGAUUAAAACUCAAAGGAAUUGACGGGGACCCGCACAAGCGGUGGAUGAUGUGGAUUAAUUCGAUGCAACGCGAAAAACCUUACCUACCCUUGACAUGUCUGGAAUGCCGAAGAGAUUUGGCAGUGCUCGCAAGAGAACCGGAACACAGGUGCUGCAUGGCUGUCGUCAGCUCGUGUCGUGAGAUGUUGGGUUAAGUCCCGCAACGAGCGCAACCCUUGUCAUUAGUUGCUACGCAAGAGCACUCUAAUGAGACUGCCGGUGACAAACCGGAGGAAGGUGGGGAUGACGUCAAGUCCUCAUGGCCCUUAUGGGUAGGGCUUCACACGUCAUACAAUGGUCGGGACAGAGGGUCGCCAACCCGCGAGGGGGAGCCAAUCUCAGAAACCCGAUCGUAGUCCGGAUCGCAGUCUGCAACUCGACUGCGUGAAGUCGGAAUCGCUAGUAAUCGCGGAUCAGAAUGUCGCGGUGAAUACGUUCCCGGGUCGUGCACUCACCGCCCGUCA